GACGUAGGAUGCAAGCGUUGUCCGGAUUUAUUGGGCGUAAAGAGUUCGUAGGCGGUUCGUUAAGUCUGGUGUUAAAGAUCAGGGCUCAACCCUGAGAGUGCACUGGAUACUGGCGGACUGGAGUGUGGUAGAGGCUAGUGGAAUUCCCAGUGUAGCGGUGAAAUGCGUAGAUAUUGGGAAGAACACCGGUGGCGUAGGCGACUAGCUGGGCCAUAACUGACGCUGAGGAACGAAAGCCAGGGGAGCGAAUGGG
rnacentral:rRNA from 1 species